GUCUCAAUCCAUGUACAAUUAUAACACAAGAGAGCCAAUUUAAUCUAAAAAUCGUCUAUCUUAAUGUCCACAUGAUCCAUACCUCACAUGGUUUAGAUUAAUCUUGGAUUUUAAAAAGCUUGUAUAACUUCAUCUGAACUUUCAAGUGCAGAUGCAACAAGCACACAUCACAUAAAGAUUUCUCCAAUGAUUAAUUGGGAAAUAUGAGUACAAUUCCUUUUGCC
rnacentral:lncRNA from 1 species